UGUCCACGGCGUAGUUCAGUAAGGGCCAAGCCACAGCCUAUGUGCUUGUCAAGAAACUGCUGGCUGAGAUAAAGUGUCUGAAUUAAUAAAAGCAUCUGACUGUGAAGCACUCCUGGAAAGGACUUUAACCUGAAAAGGAAUAAGGAAUAUUGCCAGCUGAAAUGAAGCCACAAUAUUGACAGGAAGUGGAGUCUGGCAACCACAAGUUUCCAAAGUGCACAUCUGCACUGGGGUCUGGAGAUUUCUGGAAGGGAAUCAGUCUGUGUCCUUUUUGCAGGUGCAUGAGAGGUACAGGAUCAAGAUCCUCAAAAAAAAAAAAAAAAAAAAAAAAAAAAAAAAAAAAGAAAGUCUGAGAAAGUCUCAAGAAGCCACAGGCUAGAAGAACCUAAGAAGACAUGAUGACUAAAUGUGAUGUGAUGUGAUGUUUUGGAUGAGAUCCUGGGACAGAAAAAGGAUAUUAGGUAAAUACGAAGGAAAUUGGAAAAAAAUAUGGACUUCAGUUAGUAAUAAUUUGUCAAUGUUGUUUCA
rnacentral:lncRNA from 1 species